GGGGCUGUGUUAUUAUUAUUAACAGAACAUAAUCAGAACUAUCUGUGAUCAGGUGAUGAAUCACGAAGUCAGCACAAAAUCAAUAAGAGAUGUCAUGGCGGCAGCAUUGCAACUGCAGUUCAUGUAUAGCGAAUAACGCAUCUUUCAUAAUAGCUAAAAGUGUUUUUUUGUCAAUUAAUUUUGAUGUGAUUAUUUAGUAGCCGAAAUAUUGUUAGAACAAUACAUUGGUAUCUGACAAGUUUGAACACGAGAAUUAGACAUUUACUUUUUAAUACAUUAAGAGAGGAUAACAGAGGAUAAGAGAGGAUUUGAGGUAGAAACAAUCUAUUAUUGUAUGCAGUACGAUUACCAUACUAUUGCUGAUUGCCGAUUCUCAAGAUAUAUGUAACAGGCGAGAACGCUUUUACAAGUAAUUGGAAAAGAUCUUUAUUAUUGUAUGUGGUAAAUCGCUGAUCACCUUCAUCAACAUUACAAAUCAAUAGAUUGUAUGUCCCACGAUUGUUACAUUAUGUUAAGUGAUCAUCGCACAAAUAAAAUUCUGUUUUAGAUAUACAACAUCAUUAUCUGCAUAUAAAUAUUGUGAAUUAUUGUGAAUUCAUAUCUGAAGAAUACCUACGAAUAACGACUAUAUUUUUUCUGUCAAUAAAAGAUUGUCUUUAUUAUAA